CCUACGGGUGGCUGCAGUGGGGAAUUUUGGACAAUGGGGGCAACCCUGAUCCAGCCAUGCCGCGUGAGUGAAGAAGGCCUUCGGGUUGUAAAGCUCUUUCGGCCGGGAAGAAAUCGCUCAAGCUAAUACCUUGGGUGGAUGACGGUACCGGAAGAAGAAGCACCGGCUAACUACGUGCCAGCAGCCGCGGUAAUACGUAGGGUGCGAGCGUGGAUCGAAGUUUCCGGGCGUGAAGCGUGCGCACGCGGGGGAACUCCCCGGGCUUAACCUGGGAACUGCGUUUGUGACUGUGGUGCUCGAGUGCGGCAGAGGGGGGUGGAAUUCCACGUGUAGCAGUGAAAUGCGUAGAGAUGUGGAGGAACACCGAUGGCGAAGGCAGCCCCCUGGGUCGACACUGACGCUCAUGCACGAAAGCGUGGGGAGCAAACAGGAUUAGAUACCCCAGUAGUC
rnacentral:rRNA from 1 species